GGUCCGCUGGCUCAAUGGCAGAGCGUCUGACUACGAUUUCCUCUGUUCUGAGAUUUCUUAGAGAGAGGGUCAAGUAAUCAGGAGGUUCCAGGUUCGACCCCUGGGUGGAUCG